GCUUGGUAGUAAGUCUACACACUGUUUGCGAGGUUACAACUCGCCGCCUAAACUCGACCAUACUACC
rnacentral:tRNA from 1 species